CGAUUCUAUGCUACCAAUUCCAUAUAUUACCAUCUGCAUCUUUCCUUCUGAGCCCACAGCUUUUAGAAACCUAUCAAAUAUUUCAGGGGUUUGUAACUGAUCCAAAAAUUUCAACCAGAAGGAAGAGCUCUCGAGUUUCCUAAUGCAGGUUUGUAUUUUCUGCAUUCCAUAUAUUACCAUCUGCAUCUUUCCUUCUGAGCCCACAGCUUUUAGAAACCUAUCAAAUAUUUCAGGGGUUUGUAACUGAUCCAAAAAUUUCAACCAGAAGGAAGAGCUCUCGAGUUUCCUAAUGCAGGUUUGUAUUUUCUGCAUCAAUUUAGAUUCUCUCUCUGGAUUGGUCUCAAUAUCUGAUGGAGUCCACAGUUGUUCUUGUUUUUGCCGUUCGUGAAUGAUAACUUUAUGAAAAUUUCUUUUUUGUUUUCCACGACGAGGCAAUACAACAGUC
rnacentral:lncRNA from 1 species